GUAACAAGGUUUCCGUAGGUGAACCUGCGGAAGGAUCAUUAACGAAAUGGGAUCUCUCAAACGAGAGAUCCGACUCACCCACACCCGUGCACUCAGCGAACUCUGUAGAAGGCUCCCUCUCAAAGGGGGGGUCGAGACGUUCACUCCCUUUACAUCUCAAACGCCUGUGAAACGAGCAUGUCUAUCGAGCUCUACGGAGCGCAAACAAUACAACUUUCAACAACGGAUCUCUUGGCUUUCGCAUCGAUGAAGAACGCCGCGAAAGUGCGAAACGUAAUGUGAAUUGCAGAAUUCAGUGAAUCAUCGAAUCUUUGAACGCACCUUGCGCUCCUUGGUAUUCCGAGGAGCAUGCCUGUUUGAGUGUCGUGAAGUCUCUCGACCCCGUGGCCUUUACUGUGCCGGGGGUCGGAUUUGGACGCUGCCGUCUCUCGAAGACGGCUCGUCUCGAAAUGCAUUAGCCGUCCCCAUCGCGCAGACUACGGUGUGAUAAGUCACGUUCGCCGGCGUCCGUGUAAGGGGGUGGCUCACAGUCGUCUUCGGACAAACCGACCUUUAACGUCUGACCUCAAAUCAAGUAGGACUACCCGCUGAACUUAAGCA
rnacentral:rRNA from 1 species